CCGUGAUCGAGGUAACGUAACCCGAAGUAAGAGGUCUCCAGCAAGUUGAGGUGCUUGAACACUCUGUCCAAUAGUUCUUGACCCAGAAUACGGGCAAACGAGCGUUUUCACCCCUCCUUUCUCGAUCGCGUGAUACGUGUGUGUACAGACGGGUAUAUAUCAGGCGAAAAACUAGAAAUAUAUAGCGCGGCAAAUUCAAUCCCUGAGCUGCUGCGAACGCAAAAGAAUAAGCGAAAGGAAACGCGAAGUCUAGUAAGCAGUGUAAUGAAAGUGGCGGACGCGCGUUUAAAAGUAUAGCAAGAAACUACCGAAGCGGUUAGAAGAAGCGGAAGAAGAAGGAGAAGAAGACGAAAGACCUCGCCCUUUUUUUCCGCCUAAGGCCUAGGAGAGCCGAGUAUAGGUUCAGGAGAUGGGCAUUCUAAUCCUUCCCGCCUGCAGCUCGUUGUGGGAAUCGAAAACACUACAACGCAGAAGGACUAGUCUGUAAGGCGCUUCUUCACGACCUUCACUUCAGUGAGAAAAUGUCAUUUGGACCGGGUCGCGCGCUUACGACGCCAGAUUUUCGCUGAACGGUCAACGAUCCUCGGCGUUCAUUGUCAGACACGUACUGUUUGAGCUUCUUGGGACGAAAAACUUUACUCCAAUUUCCUUAGGAAAUUUAUCUAGAAAUUUCCUUGCACGGAAAAAAAUUAGUAUUAAUUCAACACUUGUACUAACUUAUACUAAUUUUUCUUUGCGUAGGUUCGAAGAGCAGAAUGACAGCCGAAUCACUUAGAUUCGAAUGAUUCUCCACUCGUACAGAGCAAAUUCCCCACUCGAAUAUUCUCACUCGAAACUGAAGAGUCCCAUUGUCGCAGGAACGGAUUUCGCUCAAACUUCGAUCGAAAAUUCCACUCGUGCGGAGUCGGAAUCCAUUCUGAGCUCGAGUGAAACGUUCACCCUUGCGAUUUCGAGUACGCGGUAUUUUCACUUCGCCGCUUCGAGCGAAAACACUGCUGUUUUUCGCUCGUUUCGAGAGCGGGACAUUCCACUUCGAGAAAUUUAGAGAGAGAAGUGCGCGGGGAAAUGAGAGUGGAGUGGCGCCGAUUGUACGGGAGAUACAAUCGGGGGACAUGAUAAUAAUGGCGAAGUGGAAAUAAGCAAUACCUCCGGCUAACGACACGACAGCCACGGCGAGGAAGAGAAGAAUGAGCGGCGAAUCUCUCGCGGCGCGGCAAGCAGCCAACGUCGCCGCUUUGUAUCGCAGAUUCGUUUUUGCCAUCUAUCGUGACUAGGUACGACAACGUCAAGAAAAGCGAAAAGUCCUACUGUCCGUUAUAGUGAUCGUGAGAUAGGUAGAAAAGGAAGAAAAGCCCUGUCGGAUAUCGCCAACGGCGAGCGUUAAGCGCCCUUUGUGUAAUUGGUCGAUGUCGAAGCGAAGAAAAGAUAAUCGGAGGCAUGAGACGUAGCUGGAGAUUCGUGGAACUUCGAUAGGGUUGGCUCUCUCUUUCUUUCUCUCUCUCUCUCUCUCUCUCUCAAGCUUCUCGACUUUUAUUUCUCCUGCAGAUAGCUUCGAGAAUUACCGCGAAAUUAAU